rnacentral:tRNA from 1 species
GGGAAUAUAGCUCAGUGGUAGACUGUAUGGUUAGCAUGCAUGAGGUCCUGGGUUCAAUCCCCAGUACCUCCA